AAUUAAAAUUAAUAUUUUACUUACAGUACACCAGAGAUGACUGUAGAGGUUGGAUGAAGAAAUAUGAUUGACCAUGAUCACCUAAAUAAUUUUAUUGUGAAUUUAUUAGUGCUAAUUCAAAUAAAAAUAAAUUUAAAGAGGCAAUCUUAAUUUAUGCCGAAAAUUCGGCAGAAUUUUUCCUAUACCUGGGAUCUACCUAACCUGCGAAAAGAUUCAAAUAACACUUUUAAAAUCUCAAUUUCUAUAAUCACAUCUCAUUAACAUUAUAUGGCCCCUCCUGAGCCCUCCAAAUCAAAAAAUAGUCAUAAACUUGAAAAAUUACGUUUUAAUUCUUAUAAUUGACAUUUUAGAAAAAUCCACUCAAAUAAGCUUUAAAAAUUCUGAAAUUUUGCCUCGCGGUCCUUAAUAGGGUUAUAAGACUAUUGCAAAAAGAAUUAUAAUUU
rnacentral:misc_RNA from 1 species